CCGGGAGGCAGAGGUUGCAGUGAGCCGAGAUCGCGCAGCUGCACUCCAGCCUGGGCAACAGAGCAAGACUCCAUCUCAGAAAAGAAGCAGAAAGCCUCCAAGAGCCAAUGGCUCUCAAGCAUCUUGGUCUCUGCUAAGAAGAGGCUCAGAGGCUUAGAAGCCCUGCCUCGCCGGGGCUUUGAGGCAAGCUGCAGAUGCCCUUUAG
rnacentral:lncRNA from 10 species